rnacentral:misc_RNA from 1 species
GUCAGAAUCUCCUGUAAUCCAGCAUGAGAGCAAUUUAUAUAAUGAUGCGAGUCUGGUUAACAAUCUUCCCAUUACAUCUGAGCUCCUUAACAUUCCUUCUGAAGACAGGCAUGAAGUGUUGUCUUCUGAUUAUCAGCAGUUACCCAAUUUGGAUGGUGAGGAUCCAUCGGUAGGUGAUGAUUCAGCCUCCUUAUAUAAUCUUCCUAAUUGUCCUUCAUCGGAAGAAGGUCAUACCUCACCUUCAUUGUUGGCUGUAAACCAUCCAAACCACGUGGAUAAUGGUCUAGACAAUGAGAAUUUAAAUGGUAGUUCUGUUGGUUCAGUUCAGAUACUGGAU